UACGAGAGGUCCAAACGUCAUUCGGAAUCACUGGGCUUACAGAGUUCGUAGGCGGCUCUACAAGUGAGGUGUGAAAGCCCUCGGCUCAACCGAGGAACUGCGCUUCAAACUGUAAAGCUAGAGGAAGAUAGAGGUGAGCGGAACUGAUGGUGGAGCGGUGAAAUGCGUUGAUAUCAUCAGGAACACCGGAGGCGAAGGCGGCUCACUGGGUCUUUUCUGACGCUGAGGAACGAAAGCUAGGGGAGCAAACGGG
rnacentral:rRNA from 1 species